ACUCCUACGGGAGGCAGCAGUGGGGAAUAUUGCACAAUGGGCGAAAGCCUGAUGCAGCAACGCCGCGUGAGGGAUGACGGCCUUCGGGUUGUAAACCUCUUUUAGUAAGGAAGAAGGACUUGACGGUACUUGCAGAAAAAGCACCGGCUAACUACGUGCCAGCAGCCGCGGUAAUACGUAGGGUGCAAGCGUUGUCCGGAAUUAUUGGGCGUAAAGAGCUCGUAGGCGGUUUGUCGCGUCUGCUGUGAAAACCGGAGGCUCAACCUCCGGCCUGCAGUGGGUACGGGCAGACUAGAGUGCGGUAGGGGAGAUUGGAAUUCCUGGUGUAGCGGUGGAAUGCGCAGAUAUCAGGAGGAACACCGAUGGCGAAGGCAGAUCUCUGGGCCGUAACUGACGCUGAGGAGCGAAAGCAUGGGGAGCGAACAGGAUUAGAUACCCUGGUAGCCCAUGCCGUAAACGUUGGGAACUAGAUGUAGGGGCCAUUCCACGGUUUCUGUGUCGCAGCUAACGCAUUAAGUUCCCCGCCUGGGGAGUACGGCCGCAAGGCUAAAACUCAAAGGAAUUGACGGGGGCCCGCACAAGCGGCGGAGCAUGCGGAUUAAUUCGAUGCAACGCGAAGAACCUUACCAAGGCUUGACAUGAACGAGAACGGGCCAGAAAUGGUCAACUCUUUGGACUCGUUUACAGGUGGUGCAUGGUUGUCGUCAGCUCGUGUCGUGAGAUGUUGGGUUAAGUCCCGCAACGAGCGCAACCCUCGUUCUAUGUUGCCAGCACGUUAUGGUGGGAACUCAUAGGAGACUGCCGGGGUCAACUCGGA
rnacentral:rRNA from 1 species